CGUAGGGGGCAAGCGUUGUCCGGAGUUUAUUGGGCGUAAAGAGCGUGUAGGCGGCCAGGUAGGUCUGGUGUGAAAACUCGAGGCUCAACCUCGAGAGGUCAUCGGAAACCAUCUGGCUAGAGUCCGGAAGAGGAGAGUGGAAUUCCCGGUGUAGCGGUGAAAUGCGCAGAUAUCGGGAAGAACACCUAUGGCGAAGGCAGCUCUCUGGGACGGUACUGACGCUGAGACGCGAAAGCGUGGGGAGCGAACAGGAUUAGAUACCCUGGUAGUCCACGCCGUAAACGAUGGGUGCUAGGUGUGGGUGGUGUCGACUCCAUCCGUGCCGCAGCUAACGCAUUAAGCACCCCGCCUGGGGAGUACGGCCGCAAGGCUA
rnacentral:rRNA from 1 species